rnacentral:rRNA from 1 species
UACGUAGGUGGCGAGCGUUGUCCGGAUUUACUGGGCGUAAAGAGCGCGCAGGCGGUCGUUCAAGUCGCGUGUGAAAGCCCCCGGCUCAACUGGGGAGGGUCACGCGAUACUGAUCGACUCGAAGGCAGGAGAGGGAAGUGGAAUUCCCGGUGUAGCAGUGAAAUGCGUAGAGAUCGGGAGGAACAUCAGUUGCGAAGGCGGCUCUCUGGACCAGCACUGACACUGAGGCACGAAAUCGUGGGGAGCAAACAGG